ensembl:snRNA U6 U6 spliceosomal RNA
GUGCUCGCCUCAGAGGCACAUAUACUAAAAUUGGAAUGAUACAGAGAAGAUUAGCACGGCCCCUGUGCAAGGAUGAAAUUCAAAUUUGUGAAGCAUUCUAUAUUUUU